GAUGAAGAACGCAGCGAAAUGCGAUAAGUAAUGUGAAUUGCAGAAUUCAGUGAAUCAUCGAAUCUUUGAACGCACAUUGUGCCCCUUGGUAUUCCGAGGGGCAUGCCUGUUCGAGCGUCAUUAUAACCCCUCAAGCUCGGCUUGGUGUUGGGGCCUGCCGCACGGGCAGCCCUUAAAAUCAGUGGCGGUGCCAUCUGGCUCUAAGCGUAGUAAUUCUUCUCGCUAUAGAGUCCCGGUGGAUGCUUGCCAUUAACCCCCAAUUUCAAUGGUUGACCUCGGAUCAGGUAGGGAUACCCGCUGAACUUAAGCAUAUCAAUAAGCGGAGGA
rnacentral:misc_RNA from 1 species